GACGAACGCUGGCGGCGUGCCUAAUACAUGCAAGUAGAACGCUGAAGGAGGAGCUUGCUCUUCUGGAUGAGUUGCGAACGGGUGAGUAACGCGUAGGUAACCUGCCUGGUAGCGGGGGAUAACUAUUGGAAACGAUAGCUAAUACCGCAUAACAGUAGAUGUUGCAUGACAUUUACUUAAAAGGUGCAAUUGCAUCACUACCAGAUGGACCUGCGUUGUAUUAGCUAGUUGGUGGGGUAACGGCUCACCAAGGCGACGAUACAUAGCCGACCUGAGAGGGUGAUCGGCCACACUGGGACUGAGACACGGCCCAGACUCCUACGGGAGGCAGCAGUAGGGAAUCUUCGGCAAUGGACGGAAGCCUGACCGAGCAACGCCGCGUGAGUGAAGAAGGUUUUCGGAUCGUAAAGCUCUGUUGUAAGAGAAGAACGAGUGUGAGAGUGGAAAGUUCACACUGUGACGGUAUCUUACCAGAAAGGGACGGCUAACUACGUG
rnacentral:rRNA from 1 species